rnacentral:rRNA from 1 species
GAUGAACGCUGGCUACAGGCUUAACACAUGCAAGUCGAGGGGAAACGACGGGGAAGCUUGCUUCCCCGGGCGUCGACCGGCGCACGGGUGAGUAACGCGUAUCCAACCUGCCUCUGACUGAGGGAUAACCCGUCGAAAGUCGGCCUAAUACCUCAUAGUAUCGUCUGCGGGCAUCCAACGACGAUUAAAGAUUUCAUCGGUCAGGGAUGGGGAUGCGUCUGAUUAGCUUGUUGGCGGGGUAACGGCCCACCAAGGCUACGAUCAGUAGGGGUUCUGAGAGGAAGGUCCCCCACAUUGGAACUGAGACACGGUCCAAACUCCUAUGGGAGGCAGCAGUGAGGAAUAUUGGUCAAUGGGCGAGAGCCUGAACCAGCCAAGUAGCGUGCAGGAAGACGGCCCUAUGGGUUGUAAACUGCUUUUAUGCGGGGAUAAAGUGAGGGACGUGUCCCUCAUUGCAGGUACCGCAUGAAUAAGGACCGGCUAAUUCCGUG